rnacentral:lncRNA from 1 species
AAGAAUUGUCUCUCAAAAUAGGACCAAGUACGUCUAACUUAAGACAUACCCAAACCAUAAUGAUGGAGAAAUACUAAGCAACAAAGCAUCACAUCUAUACUAACAUUUUAAUUGAUAAUGACAUUGAUUGUAACAACGCUAGUUUUGUUUGUUACUUUCUCCAACUUGACUAAAUACCAAUUCGAAAGAGAAAGACGUAGUUUGCUGUUUUUGUG